rnacentral:rRNA from 1 species
GAUGAACGCUGGCGGCGUGCCUAAUACAUGCAAGUCGAGCGAACAGACGAGGAGCUUGCUCCUCUGACGUUAGCGGCGGACGGGUGAGUAACACGUGGAUAACCUACCUAUAAGACUGGGAUAACUUCGGGAAACCGGAGCUAAUACCGGAUAACAUGUUGAACCGCAUGGUUCAACAGUGAAAGACGGUCUUGCUGUCACUUAUAGAUGGAUCCGCGCCGCAUUAGCUAGUUGGUAAGGUAACGGCUUACCAAGGCAACGAUGCGUAGCCGACCUGAGAGGGUGAUCGGCCACACUGGAACUGAGACACGGUCCAGACUCCUACGGGAGGCAGCAGUAGGGAAUCUUCCGCAAUGGGCGAAAGCCUGACGGAGCAACGCCGCGUGAGUGAAGAAGGUCUUCGGAUCGUAAAACUCUGUUAUUAGGGAAGAACAAAUGUGUAAGUAACUAUACACGUCUUGACGGUACCUAAUCAGAAAGCCACGGCUAACUACGUG